rnacentral:rRNA from 1 species
UACGUAGGGUGCAAGCGUUGUCCGGAAUUAUUGGGCGUAAAGGGCUCGUAGGCGGUUUGUCGCGUCGGGAGUGAAAACCAGGUGCUUAACACCUGGCUUGCUUUCGAUACGGGCAGACUAGAGGUAUGCAGGGGAGAACGGAAUUCCUGGUGUAGCGGUGAAAUGCGCAGAUAUCAGGAGGAACACCGGUGGCGAAGGCGGUUCUCUGGGCAUGACCUGACGCUGAGGAGCGAAAGUGUGGGGAGCGAACAGG